rnacentral:lncRNA from 1 species
GCUUCUUCUCCUCAUCUGCCUCUGCAGGAGGAGGAAAGGUGGUGUCGUGGCAGAGACACACCCACAUUAUGUCAACAGACCCUCCAGCACUGGCACAGUUCUGCAGCAAUGGAGCCAUGAUGGGCAGCUCCAGCCAGUGACCCACAACCACCCAGCACUGCCCAAUAACCCUAGAGGGAAGCCCAGAGUGGGUCGAAACCCUCAGAAAAGGGGCAAGAGAGAAGAGGAUGCAGAUGCCAGGGUAGAGUGCAACUCCUUGGUAAGAUCAGGAGAGAGCGCACCACCUUCAGAGCCCCAUAUCCUGCUCCCUGCAUCACCGAAACCCCCAGUGCCAUCCUGGGGCAUUGGGAUCAG